rnacentral:rRNA from 1 species
AUUGAACGCUGGCGGCAUGCUUUACACAUGCAAGUCGAACGGUAACAGGCCACAAGGUGCUGACGAGUGGCGAACGGGUGAGUAAUGCAUCGGAACGUGCCCAGUCGUGGGGGAUAACGCAGCGAAAGCUGCGCUAAUACCGCAUACGAUCUCUGGAUGAAAGCGGGGGACCGAAAGGCCUCGCGCGAUUGGAGCGGCCGAUGUCAGAUUAGGUAGUUGGUGGGGUAAAGGCCCACCAAGCCAACGAUCUGUAGCUGGUCUGAGAGGACGACCAGCCACACUAGGACUGAGACACGGCCCAGACUCCUACGGGAGGCAGCAGUGGGGAAGUUUGGACAAUGGGCGCAAGCCUGAUCCAGCAAUGCCGCGUGCAGGAAGAAGGCCUUCGGGUUGUAAACUGCUUUUGUACGGAACGAAACGGUCCGGGUUAAUACCCUGGGCUAAUGACGGUACCGUAAGAAUAAGCACCGGCUAACUACGUGCCAGCCGCCGCAGUAACAC